AUUGAACGCUGGCGGCAGGCCUAACACAUGCAAGUCGAACGCGUGGCGGACGGGUGGGUAAUGUCUGGGAAACUUCCUGAUGGAGGGGGAUAACUACUGGAAACGGUAGCUGAUACCGCCUACCAUACGAUGUGCCCAGAUGGGAUUAGCUAGUUGGUGGGGUAACGGCUGACCAAGGCGACGAUCCCUAGCUGGUCUGAGAGGAUGACCAGCCACACGGGAACUGAGACACGGGCCAGACUCCUACGGGAGGCAGCAGUGGGGAAUAUUGCACAAUGGGCGAAAGCCUGAUGCAGCCAUGCCGCGUGUAUGAAGAAGGCCUUCGGGUUGUAAAGUACUUUCAGCUGGGAGGCGUUACCCGCAGAAGAAGCACCGGCUAACUCCGUGCCAGCAGCCGCGGUAAUAC
rnacentral:rRNA from 1 species